CUUGAUCGACCCCAACAGCAGCGGCCGCUCACGAUCCUGGCCAUACGUUUCCAGCAGCGCCUGCGCCUC
rfam:Actinoplanes sp. SE50/110, complete genome.